AACGCACCUUGCGCUCCUGGGUAUUCCUAGGAGCAUGCCUGUUUGAGUGUCAUGAAAUCAUCAAGCCUUGGCCUUGUUAACCCUUGGUCAACGGUUUGGAUGUGGGCGCUUGCCAUCCGUGGCUCGCCUCAAAUCGAUUAGCUGGAUCAGUCCUUGAGACGUGGUUUGACUUGGCGUAAUAAGUAUUUCGUCAGGGACACUUCGGUGGCCAUCCUCUUGACUCACGAUCCGCUCUCCAACCCUUGUGCCUUUGUGCCAAACCUUGACAUCUGGCCUCAAAUCAGGUAGGACUACCCGCUGAACUUAA
rnacentral:rRNA from 1 species